UCUAUUAAAUAUAGCUCUGAUUCUGUAUAAGUGGUUGCCUUAUUUAUGAUCCUCUCUUUUGGGCUGCAAAUUCUUAAGUAAUUGAUUGACAAUUUGGUUCAAAUGGUUGUUAGUUUAUUUGGACUUGUUUGUUAGUAGGUUUGUGAUUUAUGCUUAAAUGUUUUAUAUUUUCAGAGAGCUUCUAACAGAGGAUGCAAAACCUAUGGUGUAAAAUAUAUGAUUACCCUAUUUCAAUAGCCAAACAUUAGUGGACCAUUAGUUGCAACCUGAUUUUCUUUCUAUCUUUCCUUCCUUUCAAUUGAGUCCAUCUGAUUUCUUACACUUCUUUUCAAAUUCACUUUUGUUGUUCUAUUUUAUGUACAUAUGUUUUGUUCUUAGUUUUAGUUUUUUUUUUCUUUUUCCGAGUUCAUUGACAUUUAGUUAAACUUGAAAGGCAAUCCAAUUGUUUGUUCGUUCAGCGUCAUCCAGGUCUUUGAUGUCUGUCCACGCCAUUGUGAGCAUCGUACCAGAUCUAUUCACACGCGAGCUUAGUUCCUUCCAAAUCUGAGAUGUCGACUCCUUCCAACGCGAGCUUUGUACCGGUUCAACAAUGGCACAUUUUGUUUGUACUUUUGUUGGAUCAGAAAUAGCCUUAUGAAUAUACUUUAUGUUUGUGCUAAAUCUACAUCAGUUUGAAUGAGAUGUGAGAUCUAUGAUCAGCUUGACUUUUUUUAUGGAUCCUUUGUUGAAUGUGAUUUGUAUUCGUGCAAAUGUAGCUUUUUCUUUCUCACUAAGAACCUCAUUUGAAAAUGUACAUCAUCUUGUGUUUCUGUAAUUGUUAUGCUAGAAUUGGUUGUAUUCAUGAUUUGGGAGAUCAAAUUGGUUGUAUUCAUAUUUAUUGAAGCAUAUUUUCAUUUUUAUUGUUAGGUACUAGAGUUUGAACAAUUCUUUGUGAGAUCAAAUUGGUUGUAUUCAUAUUGCAAAUAUGGUGUUCAGACAACAAAGACAAAUGUGAUUGGCACAUUGAAUAUGUUGGGACUUGCCAAGAGAGUUGGAGAAAGCUUGAAGUGUUUAUUUACACUGUUCAGUUCGAAUUCAGAAGAAAUCAUUGGAUGUGGGUCUUGUUUAGGUGGGAGAAUAGUCUCUAGGUUCAAAAAAUUGACAUCAGUGAAACUUGGAAAGACAAUGUUGAACACUUCUCAUUUAUCUUUAGCUUAUUUCUGGUCAUUUUAAUCAUUUUGUAAUUCAUUUAUUUUGAAUUCUAUUAUUGUGUGCAACCUAGUAUGUAUACUCUACUUGUUCCACGUAGAAUAUAUAUGUAUAAUUCAUGGUUGAUACAUAGGGAUUUG